rnacentral:rRNA from 1 species
AUUGAACGCUGGCGGCAUGCCUUACACAUGCAAGUCGAACGGCAGCACGGGUGCUUGCACCUGGUGGCGAGUGGCGAACGGGUGAGUAAUACAUCGGAACAUGUCCUGUAGUGGGGGAUAGCCCGGCGAAAGCCGGAUUAAUACCGCAUACGAUCUACGGAUGAAAGCGGGGGACCUUCGGGCCUCGCGCUAUAGGGUUGGCCGAUGGCUGAUUAGCUAGUUGGUGGGGUAAAGGCCUACCAAGGCGACGAUCAGUAGCUGGUCUGAGAGGACGACCAGCCACACUGGGACUGAGACACGGCCCAGACUCCUACGGGAGGCAGCAGUGGGGAAUUUUGGACAAUGGGCGAAGGCCUGAUCCAGCAAUGCCGCGUGUGUGAAGAAGGCCUUCGGGUUGUAAAGCACUUUUGUCCGGAAAGAAAUCCUUGGCUCUAAUACAGUCGGGGGAUGACGGUACCGGAAGAAUAAGCACCGGCUAACUACGUG